UCCCCUGUUUCCUUUGUCUGCAACUCAAAAGCUAUACACGCACAACACCCACCUCUCUUCUCUAAUUUACACACUAAACUACCAUCUGAGCACACACCCCUGCAUCUCCGGCGUCGGCUCAGCCGACGACACACCCAAACACCCCGUUUCCUCUUGCAACCCCACCCCCAAUCCUCUAUCUUCAUGAUGCCACAACCGUCACACCAGAGAAACCGAGACAGAGAGAGAGGGUCGGUGGACACGGCACUCGUCGACGGCAGAAACGGAACGACGGCAGAACCGUCGGACAGCGAGAACGGCGGCGGUGCUAGGGUUCUUCGCGGCGGCUGGGUUCAGUUUCUAACGAGCGGUUCCGGUUCAGGUUCGGUUCGGUCAGAUUGUUUUGAUUUGGGUUGUUUCCGGCAGUGGUGUCGAUGAUGAUGACGACGACGGUGAGGGCUCGGGUCUCGGCUCUUGUCAGCUUCAGCAAGACAGCCAUGAGUUAGACUUGGUCUCGGGUUCACGGUCAACGUAGUCAGAAUUGGUGCGGGUUCGGGUUCAGUCAAAACAAGUCAAAGCAGUCAAACCGGUCAGAUUCAUGUUCGUAUUCUGGUUCGGGUUAAACUGGUCAACUCGAGCUCGGGUAAUCACUCUCGUGCGCUCGGUUUUUCCUAUCUUUUUCCUCGUGCGUUAUUUCAAGGAAUCUCCAUACGCAAACACAGAAUAUCAAUGACGCAUGGAAUCUAGUAGGAUUGCCUAGAAACGCAUUUAAACGUUAAAUACUUGUUGUAUUGUAUUUUAUUUCAUACAUGUUAUAACUAAUUCCAAAACCAUUGU